rnacentral:rRNA from 1 species
GACGAACGCUGGCGGCGUGCCUAAUACAUGCAAGUUGAGCGAUGAAGAUUGGUGCUUGCACCAAUUUGAAGAGCAGCGAACGGGUGAGUAACGCGUGGGGAAUCUGCCUUUGAGCGGGGGACAACAUUUGGAAACGAAUGCUAAUACCGCAUAACAACUUUAAACAUAAGUUUUAAGUUUGAAAGAUGCAAUUGCAUCACUCAAAGAUGAUCCCGCGUUGUAUUAGCUAGUUGGUGAGGUAAAGGCUCACCAAGGCGAUGAUACAUAGCCGACCUGAGAGGGUGAUCGGCCACCUUGGGACUGGGGCACGGCCCACACUCCUGCGGGAGGCAGCAGUAGGGGAUCUUCGGCAAUAGCCGCAAGUCUGACCGAGCAACGCCGCGUGAGUGAAGGAGGUUGUCGGAUCGUAAAACUCUGUUGGUAGAGAAGAACGUUGGUGAGAGUGGAAAGCUCAUCAAGUGACGGUAACUACCCAGAAAGGGACGGCUAACUACGUG